rnacentral:rRNA from 1 species
CGCUGGCGGCGUGCUUAACACAUGCAAGUCGAACGGGAGUAUUGAAGAAGCUUGCUUUAGAGAUACUUUAGUGGCGGACGGGUGAGUAACGCGUGAGGAGCUGUCCUAUGCAGGGGGACAACAGCUGGAAACGGCUGCUAAUACCCCAUAAGCCGAGAGGUAAAAGGAUCAAUCCGGCAGAGGAGGUACUCGCGUCCUAUCAGCUAGUAGGUGAGGUAACGGCUCACCUAGGCGAAGACGGGUAGCCGGCCUGAGAGGGCGAACGGCCACACUGGAACUGAGAUACGGUCCAGACUCCUACGGGAGGCAGCAGUGGGGAAUAUUGGGCAAUGGGGGGAAACCCUGACCCAGCGACGCCGCGUGGGUGAAGAAAUCCUUCGGGAUGUAAAGCCCUGUUGUAUGGGAAGAGCGGAAGACGGUACCAUACGAGGAAGCCCCGGCAAACUACGUGCCAGCCGCCGC